AUGGGUAGGCUAUGGAAGGUCUCUCACAAGGACGUUCCUGUAGUUUCAUCUUUUAGCAGUGCAUAUUCUUUGGAUGAACCCUUUGUGCCUAAUGACUUCGCGGAAGAUGAUUCAUAUCCUAUGUCACCGGUAGUUAUUUAUGUAUUCCCUUUCCUUUUCAUUAUGUUUUUAGUUUUCACUUUCAGUUUAUUUAAUUUUCUUUGGUUGUCUUUUAUUGAGGAACUAUCGGAAGAUGACGGCAACUUUGAAAAAGCUCUAUUCGAGUUCUAUAUGAAUCAUGUGCGUGCUAUUUUUUUUUACUUGCAGUAG
rnacentral:rRNA from 1 species